ensembl:lncRNA
UUAAUGGGGGUAGAUCUGGUAUCCAAAGUUUCCCAUUGACUUCAAUGGGGGUNAACCCUUACUGGUUUAUACUGGGAAUGGGUUGGGGUGCACGAACCCUUACUGGUUUAUACUGGGAAUGGGUUGGGGUGCACAAACCCUUACUGGUUUAUACUGGGAAUGGGUUUGGGUGCACGAACCCUUACUGGUUUAUACUGGGAGUUGCUGCCAUGGCUCUCAGUGGCUCAUGGGCGGCUCCCAGUCCUUACUGGUUUAUACUGGUGCCCUCCCAGUAUAAACCUGCUCAACCUGGGAUCCACUAGACCAUACUGGGGAUGGGUUGGGUGCACGAACCCUUACUGGUUUAUACUGGGAUUUGCUGCCAUGGCUCUCAGUGACUCAUGGGCGGCUCCCAGUCCUUACUGGUUUGUACUGGUGCCCUCCCAGUAUAAACCUGGUCCAUCUAGGAUCCACUAGACCACAUUGGAAUGCCCUAGACCAUACUGGGAAUGGGUUUGGGUGCACGAACCCUUACUGGUUUAUACUGGGAGAUGCCACCACAGCCCUCAGGGACUCAUGGGUGGCUCCCAGUCCUUACUGGUUUGUACUGGUGCCCUCCCAGUAUAAACUGGGAUCCCUUAGACCAUACUGGGAAUGGGUUUGGGUGCACGAACCCUUACUGGUUUAUACUGGGAGCUGCCACCACAGCCCUCAGGAGCUCAGGGGUGGUUCCCAGUCCUUACUGGUUUGUACUGGUGCCCUCCCAGUAUGAACCUGCUCAACCUGGGAUACCUUAGACCAUACUGGGAAUGGGUUUGGGUGCACGAACCCUUACUGGUUUAUACUGGGAAUGGGUUUGGGGUGCACGAACCCUUACUGGUUUAUACUGGGAAUGGGUUUGGGUGCACGAACCCUUACUGGUUUAUACUGGGAAUGGGUUUGGGUGCACAAACCCUUACUGGUUUAUACUGGGAUUUGCCGCCAUGGCUCUCAGUGGCUCAUGGGCGGCUCCCAGUCCUUACUGGUUUAUACUGGUGCCCUCCCAGUAUGAAACUGGUCAACCUGGGAUCCCAUAGACCAUACUGGGAAUGGGUUUGGGUGCACGAAGCCUUACUGGUUUAUACUGGGAUUUGCUGCUAUGGCUCUCAGUGGCUCAUGGGCGGCUCCCAGUCCUUACUGGUUUGUACUGGGAAUGAGUUUGGGCGCACGAACCCUUACUGGUUUAUACUGGGAGCUGCCACCACAGGCUUUAGGGACUCAUGGGUGGCUCCCAGUCCUUACUGGUUUGUACUGGUGCCCUCCCAGUAUAAACCUGCUCAACCUGGGAUCCCAUAGACCAUACUGGGAAUGGGUUUGGGUGCACGAACCCUUACUGGUUUAUACUGGGAGCUGCUGUUGCAGGCUUUAGCAGCUCAGGGGUGGCUCCCAGUCCUUACUGGUUUGUACUGGUGCCCUCCCAGUAUAAACUGGGAGCCCAUAGACCAUACUGGGAGUCCCUAGGCCAUACUGGGAAUGGGUUGGGGUGCACAAACCCUUACUGGUUUAUACUGGGAGCUGCUGUUACAAGCCUCAGUGGCUCAUGGGUGGCUCCCAGUCCUUACUGGUUUGUACUGGUGCCCUCCCAGUAUAAACCUGGGAUCCCUUAGACCAUACUGGGAAUGGGUUUGGGUGCACAAACCCUUACUGGUUUAUACUGGGAGCUGCCACCACAGCCCUCAGGAGCUCAGGGGUGGUUCCCAGUCCUUACUGGUUUAUACUGGUGCCCUCCCAGUAUGAAACUGGUCAAUCUGGGAUCCCUUAUACCAUACUGGGAUCCCUUAGACCAUACUGGGAAUGGGUUUGGGUGCACGAACCCUUACUGGUUUGUACUGGGAGUUGCCGCUAUGGCUCUCAGUGGCUCAGGGGUGGCUCCCA